CAGCAGCCGCGGUAAUACGGAGGGGGCUAGCGUUGUUCGGAAUUACUGGGCGUAAAGCGCGCGUAGGCGGCUUGGUAAGUUAGAGGUGAAAGCCUGGGGCUCAACCCCAGAAUUGCCUUUAAGACUGCCGAGCUAGUAGGUGAGAGAGGUAAGUGGAAUUCCGAGUGUAGAGGUGAAAUUCGUAGAUAUUCGGAAGAACACCAGUGGCGAAGGCGGCUUACUGGCUCAUUCUAGACGCUGAGGUGCGAAAGCGUGGGGAGCAAACAGGAUUAGAUACCCGGGUAGUCCCUGUCUCUUAUAC
rnacentral:rRNA from 1 species